rnacentral:rRNA from 1 species
CGGUGUUCAACUGGCGUGUCCGCGGGACGUCCUGCCGGUGGGCUUAGCCCGCAAGGGCGGCCCAACUUCAAAUCCCAUCGCGGUGCUCUUCACUGAGUGUCGAGGUGGGCCGGCACGUUUACUUUGAACAAAUUAGAGUGCUUAAAGCAGGCUAAAACUUCCCCUGAAUACUGUGUGCAUGGAAUAAUGGAAUAGGACCUCGGUUCUAUUUUGUUGGUUUUCGGAACCCCGAGGUAAUGAUUAAUAGGAACGGAUGGGGGCAUUCGUAUUGCGACGUUAGAGGUGAAAUUCUUGGAUCGUCGCAAGACGGACAGAAGCGAAAGCAUUUGCCAAAAACGCUUUCAUUGAUCAAGAACGAAAGUUAGAGGUUCGAAGGCGAUCAGAUACCGCCCUAGUUCUAACCAUAAACGAUGCCAGCUAGCGAUCCGUCGACGUUCCUCCGAUGACUCGACGGGCAGCUUCCGGGAAACCAAAGCUUUUGGGUUCCGGGGGAAGUAUGGUUGCAAAGCUGAAACUUAAAGGAAUUGACGGAAGGGCACCACCCGGAGUGGAGCCUGCGGCUUAAUUUGACUCAACACGGGAAACCUCACCAGGCCCGGACACCGGAAGGAUUGACAGAUUGAGAGAUCUUUCUUGAUUCGGUGGGUGGGUGGUGCAUGGCCGUUUUUAGUUGGUGGAGAGAUUUGUGUGGUUAAUUCUGAUAACGAACGAGACUCUAGCCUGCUAACUAGGCGUAUUUUCGACAUCUCAAAGGUCCGUCGUCCCGGCCCUCGGGUCGUGGGCGUGCGCGAUUUUUACUGUCGGCGUACUAUCAAUUCUUCUUGAGGGACAGGUGG